rnacentral:rRNA from 1 species
UACGGGGGGGGCAAGCGUUGUUCGGAAUUACUGGGCGUAAAGGGCGCGUAGGCGGCCUGCUAAGUCGGACGUGAAAUCCCUCGGCUCAACCGGGGAACUGCGUCCGAUACUGGUGGGCUCGAAUCCGGGAGAGGGAUGUGGAAUUCCAGGUGUAGCGGUGAAAUGCGUAGAUAUCUGGAGGAACACCGGUGGCGAAGGCGGCAUCCUGGACCGGUAUUGACGCUGAUGCGCGAAAGCUAGGGGAGCAAACGGG